rnacentral:misc_RNA from 1 species
GAUGAAGAACGUAGCGAAAUGCGAUACUUGGUGUGAAUUGCAGAAUCCCGUGAACCAUCGAGUCUUUGAACGCAAGUUGCGCCUCAAGCCAUUAGGUUGAGGGCACGUCUGCCUGGGCGUCACAUAUCGUUGCCUGAUGCCAGUUUCCUCGUGAUGGGUGACUGUGCAGGGCGAAUGAUGGCUUCCCGUGAGCAUUGUUGCCUCAUGGUUGGUUGAAAACUGAGUCCUUGGUAGGGAGCGCCGUGAUAGAUGGUGGUUGAGUGACGAACGAGACCCAAUCAUGUGAGACCCCUACCGAAUUUGGCCUUCAUGACCCACAUGCGUCUUUGGAACGCUCAUGACGAGACCUCAGGUCAGGCGGGGCUACCCGCUGAGUUUAAGCAUAUCAAUAAGCGGAGGA